rnacentral:rRNA from 1 species
GCCUAAAGCGUCCGUAGCCGGCUUUGUAAGUUUUCGGUUAAAUCUAUAUGCUCAACAUAUAGGCUGCCGGAAAUACUGUAAAGCUAGGGAGUGGGAGAGGUAGACGGUACUCCGUAGGAAGGGGUAAAAUCCUUUGAUCUAUGGAUGACCACCUGUGGCGAAGGCGGUCUACCAGAACACGUCCGACGGUGAGGGAUGAAAGCUGGGGGAGCAAACCGGAUUAGAUACCCGGGUAGUCCCAGCUGUAAACUAUGCAAACUCAGUGAUGCAUUGGCUUGUGGCCAGUGCAGUGCCGCAGAGAAGUCGUUAAGUUUGCCGCCUGGGAAGUACGUACGCAAGUAUGAAACUUAAAGGAAUUGGCGGGGGAGCACCACAAGGGGUGAAGCCUGCGGUUCAAUUGGAGUCAACGCCAGAAAUCUUACCCGGAGAGACAGCAGGAUGAAGGUCAAGCUGAAGACUUUACCAGACAAGCUGAGAAGUGGUGCAUGGCCGUCGCCAGCUCGUGCCGUGAGGUGUCCUGUUAAGUCAGGUAACGAGCGAGAUCCUUGCCUCUAGUUGCCACCAUUACUCUCAGGAGUAGUGGGGCGAAUUAGCGGGACUGCCGUAGUUAAUACGGAGGAAGGGGAGGGCCACGGCAGGUCAGUAUGCCCCGAA